ensembl:snRNA U6 U6 spliceosomal RNA
GUGUUCACUUCAGCAGCAGAUAUACUAAACUUGGAAUGAUAUGGAUUAGCAUGGCCCUGUACAAGGAUACACAAAUCCAUGAAAACUACUCAUGUUUU